rnacentral:tRNA from 1 species
GGGAAUAUAGCUCAGCAGAAGGGCACCUGCCUGGCAUGCAGGAGACCUUGGGUUCAAUAUCCAGUACCA